ACGGUGUUACAGAAACCGGGUUUUUCUUUCGUUUCACGUCGAGGUUUUUUUUUUUUUUUUUUUACUCGCACUGGUCUGUGGAUGAGUUGCGGACGGUUGUGUUUGGUGGCGGAGGAGAGAAUACAGAGAGGUGGAUGAAGCGACCCGAAAUGAGAAAAUCUCCCAAUCUUUGGCAGCACCCGGGACACUGGACAUUACAGCAACGCAGAGAACAGCUGAAAAAGCUUAAAAGUGAUUACAGGACCACAACAACCCCAGUAGGUCAGACUGUAAGGGCUGGAAACGGUUCGACCGAAGGAACGCUGUUUACGGACACCGACCGACGAGCACACGGAGGCAGGAUGACCGCGACUCGGCCACGACUUGCUAGAAGCAACGGAUGAAUCCAGUUCCAUAAGCGAGGAGGGUUCGAACAUCAACAUCCAGCACCACAGCAACGUGUCAUCACUGGCAAGAGUAAAAGGUGCCUGUUCCAGCAGGAGAAUCUGUCCAUCCAGCGAUGUUGAGGUUGAAGCUGAACUGGGUUCAGUGUGAUGGACACAUCCAACUGAUCCUCGAAGAAGCAACGGAGGUGGAAGCUGCGUUUAAUCGAGCAAUCCUUGACAUGCUGGGCGAGCAUAUCCACAUGAUGCAUGACCAGGGCGUGUGUCCUGCGCCCCCACCCCACAACCAUAGACAUAUGGAACUUUUGUAUAGUUUCUGUUG